AACGACUCUCGGCAACGGAUAUCUCGGCUCUCGCAUCGAUGAAGAACGUAGCGAAAUGCGAUACUUGGUGUGAAUUGCAGAAUCCCGUGAAUCAUCGAGUCUUUGAACGCAAGUUGCGCCCGAAGCCUUCCGGCCGAGGGCACGUCUGCCUGGGCGUCACGC
rnacentral:rRNA from 1 species